UGGAUCUCCCAGAAGCUGGAAGAAUGGCUGAACAAGACAGAUGUGAUCUGCUCACCCUGCCUCUAGGACUGCAUCUUGUUCUCAGCUGUCUCGUUUUGCUAAACAAAGGACAUAUCUAAAAAAUGCAUCAGCCUCAAGCUGAUCACACCACACGUGGUGAUGAGUAUGCUGGCAGAUGUGACCGUGGAGACCAAUGUUCUGGGCACCCUGGAGUCCCACAGGAGCAGAGGAAAAGGACCAAGCAUGAGAGAACAGGCUGUCUCUUGGGCUUUGGACUGUCUCAUGUCACAGGCUGCCCUAUGCCUGCAAUGAGCUGCGCACACCAGAAGAUGCUUAAAUAUCCACAUAUCUCAUACUGCAGGGUGAAAGUCAGCAGGUCAAUCUACCAGCAAAGAGGAGGGGAAAGAAGAAGAAUAUGUCUGAGCUGCUUUGAAACAAUGCCGUUAGGCACAAGUUUUCUGUGCAAAGACCACAGCAAAGCACAACCACUGCAAAAGACCAGGGCAGGGAUGGGCCCAGGAGGAUCCACUCUGCUUUAA
rnacentral:lncRNA from 1 species